GAUGAAGAACGUAGUGAAAUGCGAUACGUAAUAUGAAUUGCAGAUAUUCGUGAAUCAUCGAAUCUUUGAACGCACAUUGCGCCCUUUGGUAUUCCAAAGGGCAUGCCUGUUUGAGCGUCAUUUCUCCCUCAAACCCCCGGGUUUGGUGUUGAGCAAUACGCUAGGUUUGUUUGAAAGAAUUUAACGUGGAAACUUAUUUUAAGCGACUUAGGUUUAUCCAAAAACGCUUAUUUUGCUAGUGGCCACCACAAUUUAUUUCAUAACUUUGACCUCAAAUCAGGUAGGACUACCCGCUGAACUUAAGCAUAUCAAUAAGCGGAGGA
rnacentral:misc_RNA from 1 species